rnacentral:rRNA from 1 species
ACAUCGCCUCUGCAAUAUCCAAGAUGGAGGUCCAGCUGGCCAGUGACUACAAGUUCAACGGCCCGGUAUUUUACCCGGUGCAAAGGUAGCGCAAUCACUUCGUCCUCUAAUUAAGGACCUGUAUGAAUGGUUAGACGAGGGCUUAACUGUCUCCCCUCUCCAGUCAGUGAAAUUGAUCUAUCCGUGCAGAAGCGGGUAUAAUAAUACAAGACGAGAAGACCCUUUGGAGCUUAAGGUACAAGAAUCAAUCAUGUUAAACAAACUUUUAAAGUCCUUAAACCUAGUGAAAAAUGAAUCUCUACCUUCGGUUGGGGCGACCACGGAGAAAAAAACAACCUCCAAGUGGACCGGAUUAUUUCCAAAACCAAGAUUAAAACACCUCUAAGUAACAGAAUAUCUGACCAAAAAUGAUCCGGCCACAAGCCGAUCAACGAACCAAGUUACCCAAGGGAUAACAGCGCAAUCCUCUUCCAGAGUUCAUAUCGACAAGAGGGUUUACGACCUCGAUGUUGGGAUCAAGGACAUCCUAAUGGUGCAGCCGCUAUUAAGGGUUCGUUUGUUCAACCGAUUAAAGUCCUACGUGAUCUGAGUUCAAAACCG